rnacentral:ribozyme from 1 species
UCUGGGUUGGGUGUAUGCACAGGAGUGUGGUCACAGCUGAGGCAGAAAAAAAAUGGAUCACAAAUGCACCCAACAUCUGUGAUCCUUUUUUUCACCU